GCAUUAAUGGGGUAGUGGUAACCUGGGUCGUUGCCAUAAGAAAUCCUAUUCCAUGCUCGACCCGCCGGGGGUUCGAUUCCCCCUUAAUGCA